GAUGAACGCUGGCGGCGUGCCUAAUACAUGCAAGUCGAGCGAACAGACGAGGAGCUUGCUCCUCUGACGUUAGCGGCGGACGGGUGAGUAACACGUGGAUAACCUACCUAUAAGACUGGGAUGACUUCGGGAAACCGGAGCUAAUACCGGAUAAUAUAUUGAACCGCAUGGUUCAAUAGUGAAAGACGGUUUUGCUGUCACUUAUAGAUGGAUCCGCGCCGCAUUAGCUAGUUGGUAAGGUAACGGCUUACCAAGGCAACGAUGCGUAGCCGACCUGAGAGGGUGAUCGGCCACACUGGAACUGAGACACGGUCCAGACUCCUACGGGAGGCAGCAGUAGGGAAUCUUCCGCAAUGGGCGAAAGCCUGACGGAGCAACGCCGCGUGAGUGAUGAAGGUCUUCGGAUCGUAAAACUCUGUUAUUAGGGAAGAACAAAUGUGUAAGUAACUAUGCACGUCUUGACGGUACCUAAUCAGAAAGCCACGGCUAACUACGU
rnacentral:rRNA from 1 species